UUGCAGGAAUGGGUGGUCUCCAAUAUCAUAAAAGUCACAUACUGAAAGACCCCUGGAGCGGGGAGACCCUCACUCAAGUCUCGGGAUAAUGUGACCCCCCAAGAACUCACGUGAGACC
rnacentral:pre_miRNA from 14 species